CCUACGGGAGGCAGCAGUAGGGAAUAUUGGACAAUGGGCGAAAGCCUGAUCCAGCAAUGCCGUGUGAGUGAUGAAGGCCUUAGGGUUGUAAAGCUCUUUUACCCGAGAUGAUAAUGACAGUAUCGGGAGAAUAAGCCCCGGCUAACUCCGUGCCAGCAGCCGCGGUAAU
rnacentral:rRNA from 1 species